rnacentral:rRNA from 1 species
GUGGGGAAUAUUCCGCAAUGGACGAAAGUCUGACGGAGCAACGCCGCGUGAGUGAUGAAGGUUUUCGGACUGUAAAGCUCUGUUGUUUAGGACGAAAGUGCCUGUUGCAAAUAGUUACAGGUAUUGACGGUACUGAACGAGGAAGCCACGGCUAACUACGUGCCAGCAGCCGCGGUAAUACGUAGGUGGCAAGCGUUGUCCGGAAUUAUUGGGCGUAAAGAGCAUGUAGGCGGGAAUCUAAGUCUGUUGUGAAAAUGCGGGGCUCCACCCCGUAUUGCGAUGGAAACUGGGUUGCUUGAGUGCAGGAGAGGAAAGGGGAAUUCCCAGUGUAGCGGUGAAAUGCGUAGAUAUUGGGAGGAACACCAGUGGCGAAGGCGCCUUUCUGGACUGUGUCUGACGCUGAGAUGCGAAAGCCAGGGUAGCGAACGGGAUUAGAUACCCGUGUAGUCC